rnacentral:rRNA from 1 species
ACGGGUGAGUAACACGUUGGUGACCUGCCCCGAACUGGGGGAUAACACCGCGAAAGCGGCGCUAAUACCCCGGAUGUUUGGACUAUUAGAGGGUACAGACUAAAGUUUUCGGACGGUUCGGGAGGGGCCUGCGGGCUAUCAGCUAGUUGGUGAGGUAAUGGCUCACCAAGGCGCAGACGGCUAGGGGGCGUGAGAGCGUGACCCCCCCCAAGGGAACUGAGAGACGGUCCCUACUCCUACGGGAGGCAGCAGUGAGGAAUAUUGAGCAAUGGGCGCAAGCCUGACUCAGCAACGCCGCGUGGACGAUGACGGCCUUCGGGUUGUAAAGUCCUUUUCUGAGGGACGAUGAUGACGGUACCUCAGGAACAAGUCCCGGCUAACUACGUGCCAGCAGCCGCGGUAAAACGUAGGGGGCGAGCGUUAUCCGGAUUUACUGGGCGUAAAGCGCAUGUAGGCGGUGGGAUAAGUCAGCCGUGAAAGCUCCCGGCUUAACUGGGAGAGGUCGGUUGAAACUGUUCGACUGGAGGUUGGAAGAGGAGAGUGGAAUUCCCGGUGUAGUGGUGGAAUGCGUAGA